CGGGGCGUAGCUCAGCCUGGUUUAGAGCGCUGCGUUCGGGACGCAGAGGUCGAAGGUUCAACUCCUUUCGCCCCGA
rnacentral:tRNA from 1 species